rnacentral:rRNA from 1 species
UACGUAGGUGGCAAGCGUUGUCCGGAAUUAUUGGGCGUAAAGCGCGCGCAGGCGGCCUCUUAAGUCUGAUGUGAAAGCCCCCCGGCUCAACCGGGGGAGGGCCAUUGGAAACUGGGAGGCUUGAGUAUAGGAGAGAAGAGUGGAAUUCCACGUGUAGCGGUGAAAUGCGUAGAGAUGUGGAGGAACACCAGUGGCGAAGGCGACUCUUUGGCCUAUAACUGACUCUGAGGCGCGAAAGCGUGGGGAGCAAACAGG